GAUGAACGCUGACGGCGUGCCUAAUACAUGCAAGUCGAGCGAACGGACGAGAAGCUUGCUUCUCUGAUGUUAGCGGCGGACGGGUGAGUAACACGUGGAUAACCUACCUAUAAGACUGGGAUAACUUCGGGAAACCGGAGCUAAUACCGGAUAAUAUUUUGAACCGCAUGGUUCAAAAGUGAAAGACGGUUUUGCUGUCACUUAUAGAUGGAUCCGCGCUGCAUUAGCUAGUUGGUAAGGUAACGGCUUACCAAGGCAACGAUGCAUAGCCGACCUGAGAGGGUGAUCGGCCACACUGGAACUGAGACACGGUCCAGACUCCUACGGGAGGCAGCAGUAGGGAAUCUUCCGCAAUGGGCGAAAGCCUGACGGAGCAACGCCGCGUGAGUGAUGAAGGUCUUCGGAUCGUAAAACUCUGUUAUUAGGGAAGAACAUAUGUGUAAGUAACUGUGCACAUCUUGACGGUACCUAAUCAGAAAGCCACGGCUAACUACGUG
rnacentral:rRNA from 1 species